UGAAGAGCGGAGAACUACCUCAGAGCCGCCUCCGAAAGGCCGCCUCUGUGCUAGGCGGGACCGCUUCGGUCGGUAAGAGGCGAGGAGGUACUCACGCGGGGCCCGGCUGGGAGCUGAGACGGUGCCCGCGGGCCUGGGCGUGGCCUCAUCGGUAGGAGGCGGAGCCUCAGGGCUCGGGGGAGUUCGGGUAGACUCGGGGAGGGGCGUGGCCUCAUUGAUACGAGGCGGAGCCUCAGGACUCGGGGAAGUUCGGGUAGACUCGGGAAGGGGCGUGGCCUCGUCAGUUGGAGGCGGACCCCCGAGUUUCGCCCAGUUACGCCAUCUGGCGACUCGCUCCAGCCUGUGAGGCUGGCUAGGAAAGCUCGGGCGGACCUGAUUGAGUCCUCUGGAUGCGCCCUGUCUCUGUGGGUAAUAGGGGACUAGCCCUGUGAACAAAAAAGGAGCCUGAGGCGCAGUGAGCAGAAGUCUGAAAACACAUCCAGUAUCAUAAGGUAUCAGGGAAAUGCACGAGAAACCACAACCAAGAGGAGAAAGCAAAGGCCAGUGAAGACAGGGUCCUGUGCAGCCCACCUGGAAUGCAGCAACAGCUUAGUAAUCUGCACUCUUGGCCCUCCAUACAACAAAGCAAUAUGUUCUUUCAUUCAAAUACUAGCAUAACAGACAAGUGCCACCAACUCAGCCAAGCUAAGCUCUUCCUUUCCUAAGGAAGACAGAACAGAGACCAUAUCACUACUAUCAGAAUGCUAUCAUGACUCAGAAGGCACCUAACCCUUGGCAUGGACCCCAAGACCAUGGGACAGUGGAAGCCGCAGGCAAGCAGGACACAUACCUUGUCUGUGCGAGCACAUCGCUGGAAGGACAUCUUCCUCAUAUCUGUGCCAUGGUUUUCAGGGAUACAACCUGCCUGGACUAAGGCAGAUACCAAGUCAUCCUCGAUGGUCCUGAACUGGGAGGACCCCAGAUUCCUCUAAAGAAAAAAGGGGAUAACCUGUUUUCAUGGGCUCUUGGGAUGGACACACACCAGAAAGCCGACCAUCACUUCUGGAACCAUCUCUAAUGCUGUGCCUCUCAGCCUUCCCUAACCAUAUAUAGGUUCAUGGUGUUCAUGAUCCUGUGAGGUCAGACACAUCAGCAUCCCACUAAUCCUCAGAAUAGAGACUAGAUCCAAGACUCAGGGAAAACCUUCCCAAGGGAAGCAGGGAAUGUGAACACCUCAACCAGGCUCCCUGGCUGAGACACUAUUUUCAAAGCCUGCUCAACCCUUUGAUUCCACUGCCACAGAUGAAGUCAGGACUGCUUCCCAAGUGACAUAAAAAGACCGUAACAAAAAGUGACUACAACCCUCACUCAGCUCUGUCACAUCUCAAGUAGGGAAACAGAGGUACAGAGGAUAUUACUGAGAAAGACAGCCAAAAAAAAAAAAAAAUUGCACUGUCAGAACUACUCCCCAGAAGCAGUGCAGUCUGCAGGUCCUCAGGAACGUCACAGCCUAGGCCACGUUAAAAGCACCAAAGCACCGUCUGGCCUGAAGGCACUACUCUCUACCCACUCUCACGGCACCAUGACUUACACUGCUGAAGCCUAUGUGUUUCUUACUGGAGAGGGACAAAGCCCGACUGUAGCCCAGACUAUCCUUGAACUUGGCAAUCCUCUUGCAUCAACUUCCCAAAUGCCAGGAUGACAGGCUAUGUGCUACCAUCCCAGUCGGCCUACAUGACUUAUGCCACUGCUGUCAUUCAUCCUCAAAGUCACCAUCAUACCUGGACAGACUAGGUUCUGGAGCCACUGUUCUGGUUGGAUACAUCACAGCAAUGAACUCCAUCCUGUGGCUCAAGAUUAAGGUUUAAAAAGUGGGGAAAGUGACCAGAGAGAUGGCUCAGUGUUUAGAGUACUGGCUGCUCUUCUAGAAGACUGGGUUUGAUUCUCAGCACCCAGAUGGCAGCUCACAAGUGCCUGUCACUCCAGCCCCAGGGGAUAAGUACGCCCUCUCCUGGCCUCUGAGAGCAACACAUACACACAGACAAUGCAGGCAGGCGAACCACCCAUAUACACAGAAAAAAAUUAAAGGUUAAAAUUUGUCUCAAAGAAAAAAUUAGAAAUUGAAACAAUGUCAACAGCAGAGGUGACAAGAAUGAACACGAUUCUACCCACACUGGUCCCUUUCAUAAGAGUCUGGUCAGUGGGUUGGAGACAGAGCCUAGCUUGACUCACGCCUUCUAGUGCUCUUCAGCUGCCCUCCAGCAUGCUGCACAGGUAGCACCAGGCAGCAAUCUGGUCCCCACUCUCAGUAAACCUGCCUUUGUCACACAGUGCCCCAGGUCCUGUGCAGGCACCACCCUAACGAAGACUCACUGCUCCCAAGGUCACAUGUGAAUCAGCCACAGAGCUGUCCUAACCAUUUGUGAAAGAAAACCAUCCAAGACUC